rnacentral:lncRNA from 1 species
GAAAGUCUUUAUGAGUAUAUUAUCCAUGGCUUCUGGCUGUCUCAAUUCCUGCUUUCUGACCUUCCAUGAUACAAACCAUCAUGGACUGAACGUUUGAAACCAUGAACUAAAAUAUAUUUUUCUUCUUUAAGUUGCUUCUGCUAGGUAUUUUGGAUAUGGAAGCUAUAAAAGCAGUUGAUAUUAGUUCUAAGCCAGACAGUUUAGCUCCAACCCCUGGAAGUGUUUUUCUGUGAAGGGAUAGUGGAUUGUGUCCUCAGUUUGUCCAUUGUACCUAGCUUCAGAACCCUUCCCACAGUGGCUUCUGGAGAACAGUGGGUGCUUCCCAGACUACUAGGGUCUCUCCAUAUCUUUGCUAAGAAGUUGGGGCUGCAAGGGAACGCUGCCUAGACAUUUCUCUAUUUUCCCACCUUCUAGUGACUUUGGUUUUUGUUGUUGUUGUUUGUUUGUUUGUUUGUUUUCCCUCUAACAACAGUGGUUCCUAGAUCAGGGUUGGAUUGGGAUCCUAGGGCGUCUUCCCUAAGCCGUUCCCUGAGUUGGCUUCCUACUAAUAUUGCCCUGCUCACUUAGAUCUGGAAGUCAGUAGAAUCUUUAGCAACACUCACUGUGAGUUGAGGCCCUGUGUUUAGGAUAAGCCUGCCAGUGUAGACUGUGACCUUUUCCCCAUCUCUCCUGUACAUUCGUUUUCAUGACAGGUACUAUGGUUCUUAAUGGCCCAUUUCCUCUAACAGGCCAUAAGUUGUUGCUGUAAAACAAGACUCUGUGCCAUUGACCAUGUCUCUAGCUCAAGCUCGCCCUCAAGGGCUGCGUGUGCUCCUCACAGUCCCGAGAAGGGAACAAUAGUUAACUUCUACUAACUUAUGGGUAGUCUUAUGGGCUUAUGGGUAGUCCCAAGCAUGGUGCUAAGUGCCUCUCCAGCCUUAUCUCUUUGAAUCUUCACAGCAAUAUUGUUAGUGAGACUCCUCUGGCAUCUAACUUUCACAGUGACAAAAAUGGAGAGAGGUCAAGUAUUUUGACCAAGGUUACACAGCUUGGAAGUAUGAUAGCUUGAAUCUGCUACCCCGCCAUGUAAGCUGUUCCACACCUUCAAGCCCUUGCACACGUUGUCUCCUUGCUUGAGACUCCUCUCUAUGCUUCACUGUUCAACACAAAUUCUCUCAUUCUGUGCAUAUCUUAGAAGAGGACUCCUCUAUUUUCUUUUUAGCUUGUGUAGCUCGGUGUAUGAUCUGUUCACUACCUUGUGCUUUAGUUGAUUUUCAUAUCUUUCUUCCCUAGACAGAUGGCAUAUUUGCACCAUACAAUUCUUGAUGACUUUUGAAUCUUCUUCAGUGAUUAUCAUACCUUCUCAGUUAGUAUAUGCUCAUUGAAUCUUGGCUCUCGAUUUUUUUAGUAUUGAUAAUGUUGAUACUUAUAGCAUUACCACAAAGGCAAGGGAUGCACCUUUCCAAACUGUUAAUAUACAAAGCAAUGUGUGGGUUGUACUAACAUAAUUUGCUUUUGCAAUCCUUCCUUAUUCAAUAGGAAACUUAGUUACAAAAAAGAAGGAAUGCUAUGUGAUUAUUUCUAUGACUGGUAAAUUAGAAAGAAGAAAAAUGGAUUCUGUAGAUGUCAAGUUUAUGAAAAACACCCAUUGCCAGUUCUGCCGUUUUAUGGGAAAAACAGGCCCCAUUCUGAAAUUUAACCUUUGGAUACUUCACCAGAAGCCACAGCGGUUCCCAAUGUUGAGGGUACAUCAAUAGGUAUCUCUCUUCUGCUCCAAAGCCAACAAUUCUGAGAGCAUAUCUCCACCUCUAACCAGUGGUUCCUCUUACCACCUUCCCUGAGCCACAAAGGUACCUUUUUUCAUUUUUGGCUUAAAACAUCAUUUUUACAAUUAACAGUUAUAUUUCAGCCAUUAUGGAAAACAGUAGAAAGCUUCCUCAAAAAGCUAAAAAACCAGAACCACCACGUGACUUAGCAAUCCCCCUCUGGAUAUAGAUCUAAAGGGAGUGAAAUUUGUGUUUCAAUCGUUAUCUGCACUCCCAUGUUCAUCACAGCCAAAAUAUGAAAGCAGGGUGUGCAAUAAUAAAAUUAUAAGACAGAUGUAUUUUCUUUAAAAAAAAAAAAGGAUAUAUAAAGAGAAAGUAUGGAGCAAUAUUGAGCCACAAAAAGAAAACUGCUAUUUACAACAUGAGUGAACUGGUAAGUCAUGGUGCAAAAUGAAUCAUGCUAUCAAAGAAAGGUGAAUUCUAUAUUGUUUGGGUUAGAACUUUCAAAGACCCAUGUAUGUCUUGGUCAGCAGCCUGAGACCCUACUGGGAAAUGGGAAAACAUUUAGAAGGUGGGGCUAGGGAGACAAGUCAAUGGAAUCCUUUGAAGGUGGUGUUGGGACCCCGACCUCUUCCUGAUCCUUUCUUAGCUUCCUGGACUCCAUUAGACAAGCAAUCCGUUGCCAUGAAAUCCUGCCUGUGGGACGUCAUUUUUCCAGAGGCUUUUAAGCAUGACGGGACCAAGUGUCAGGAGACCGAAGUCCCUGAAAUUUUGAACCCAGAUAAAUUGUCCUUUAUUUUUAAACUUGAAAUUUGUCACACAAAUGUCCCAGGAAUGGAAUGUUGACUUGGGCAUGUAUGAUCUAAUCUACAUGUGGAAUUAAGG